GAAAAGAACCCCGGGAGGGGAGUGAAAGAGAACCUGAAACCAUAUGCCUACAAGAAGUCAGAGCCCGUUAAAGGGUGAUGGCGUGCCUUUUGUAGAAUGAACCGGCGAGUUACUGUAUGGAGCGAGGUUAAGCAGGAUAUGCGGAGCCGAAGCGAAAGCGAGUCUUAAGAGGGCGCGAGUUGCAUGCAGUAGACCCGAAACCGGGUGAUCUAGCCAUGACCAGGUUGAAGUUGGGGUAAAACCCGAUGGAGGACCGAACCGACCCCCGUUGAAACGUUGGCGGAUGAGUUGUGGCUAGGGGUGAAAUUCCAAUCGAACCCGGAGAUAGCUGGUUCUCCCCGAAAUAGCUUUAGGGCUAGCGUCGAGAGUAGAGUUGCGUGAAGGUAGAGCACUGAAUAUGUGAUGGCCCCAUCUCGGGGUACUGAGCAUAAUCAAACUGCGAAUGUCACGCCAACAUGCUCGGCAGUCAGACAGCGGGUGAUAAGGUCCGUUGUCAAGAGGGAAACAGCCCAGACCAUCAGCUAAGGUCCCAAAAUGUAUGCUAAGUGGAAAAGGAUGUGGAGAUGUACAGACAACUAGGAGGUUGGCUCAGAAGCAGCCAUCCUUUAAAGAGUGCGUAACAGCUCACUAGUCGAAUGACUCUGCGCCGAUAAUUUACCGGGGCUAAGCAUACUACCGAAGCUAUGGAUCCCAAGGGAUGGUAGGGGAGCGUUCCAUGAACGGAGAAGUACGACCGAAAGGACGUGUGGAGAUCAUGGAAGAGAGAAUGCCGGUGUGAGUAGCGGAACGUGGGUGAGAAUCCCACGCACCGAAAACCCAAGGUUUCCAGAGGAAGGUUCGUCCGCUCUGGGUAAGUCGGGACCUAAGGCGAGGCCGAAAGGCGUAGUCGAUGGACAACAGGUAGAGAUUCCUGUACCCGUAUAUAUGUGAAGGAAUGACGGAGAGAGGAAGCUGCAGCCAGCGGCUGGAAGAGCUGGUGCAAGCGAGAUAUCGGGAUGGCAGGCAAAUCCACCAUCCGAAACGAGAAGGCGUGAAGCGUACGGAAAGCUACGGCGAGUACGGAAGGCAGUGGAGGAACUUCCAAGAAAAGUUUCUAACGUUAAGUAUAUAUGGCCCGUACCGAAAAUGGACACACAUGGGUGAGGAGAGAAGAUCCUAAGGUGAGCGAGAGAACUAUAGCUAAGGAACUCUGCAAAAUGACUCCGUAACUUAGGGAGAAGGAGUGCUCAUAGAGAUAUGAGCCGCAGUGAAACGGCCCAAGCGACUGUUUACCAAAAACACAGCUCUCUGCUAAGCCGCAAGGCGAAGUAUAGGGGGUGACGCCUGCCCGGUGCUGGAAGGUUAAGGGGAGGUGUCAGCGCAAGCGAAGCACUGAAUUGAAGCCCCAGUAAACGGCGGCCGUAACUAUAACGGUCCUAAGGUAGCGAAAUUCCUUGUCAGGUAAGUUCUGACCCGCACGAAAGGCGUAACGAUUUGGGCGCUGUCUCAGCUGUAGACUCGGUGAAGUCUUAGUACCUGUGAAGAUGCAGGUUACCCGCGACUAGACGGAAAGACCCCAUGGAGCUUCACUGCAGGUUGAUAUUGGGAUUUGAUGCAGCAUGUACAGGAUAGGUAGGAGGCAAAGAGAUGGAUACGCCAGUAUUCAAGGAGCCGCUGUUGGGAUACUACCCCUGUUGUAUUGGAUUUCUAACCGGACGACGUAGAGCCGUUGACGGGACAGUGUCAGUCGGGCAGUUUGACUGGGGCGGUCGCCUCCCAAAGAGUAACGGAGGCGCCCAAAGAUACCCUCAGCUUGGAUGGAAACCAAGCGCAGAGUGCAAAGGCAAAAGGGUGUUUGACUGCGAGACCUACAAGUCGAGCAGGGACGAAAGUCGG
rnacentral:rRNA from 1 species